UACGGAGGUCCCAAGCGUUGUUCGGAUUCACUGGGCGUAAAGGGUGCGUAGGCGGUCGGGUAAGUCUGAUGUGAAAUCUCACAGCUUAACUGUGAAACUGCAUUGGAUACUAUCCGGCUCGAGGAAUGGAGGGGAGACUGGAAUACUUGGUGUAGCAGUGAAAUGCGUAGAUAUCAAGUGGAACACCAGUGGCGAAGGCGAGUCUCUGGACAUUUCCUGACGCUGAGGCGCGAAAGCUAGGGGAGCAAACAGG
rnacentral:rRNA from 1 species